AGCGCAUACGGUGGAUGCCUUGGCAGUCAGAGGCGAUGAAAGACGUGGUAGCCUGCGAAAAGCUUCGGGGAGUCGGCAAACAGACUUUGAUCCGGAGAUGUCUGAAUGGGGGAACCCAGCCAUCAUAAGAUGGUUACCUUACACUGAAUACAUAGGUGUAUGGAGCGAACCAGGGGAACUGAAACAUCUAAGUACCCUGAGGAAAAGAAAUCAACCGAGAUUCCCUUAGUAGUGGCGAGCGAACGGGGACUAGCCCUUAAGUGGCUUUGAGAUUAGCGGAACGCUCUGGAAAGUGCGGCCAUAGUGGGUGAUAGCCCUGUACGCGAAAAUCUCUUAGUCAUGAAAUCGAGUAGGACGGAGCACGAGAAACUUUGUCUGAAUAUGGGGGGACCAUCCUCCAAGGCUAAAUACUACUGACUGACCGAUAGUGAACUAGUACCGUGAGGGAAAGGCGAAAAGAACCCCGGAGAGGGGAGUGAAAUAGAUCCUGAAACCGUAUGCGUACAAGCAGUGGGAGCCUACUUGUUAGGUGACUGCGUACCUUUUGUAUAAUGGGUCAGCGACUUAUUUUCAGUGGCGAGCUUAACCGAAUAGGGGAGGCGUAGCGAAAGCGAGUCUUAAUAGGGCGUCUAGUCGCUGGGAAUAGACCCGAAACCGGGCGAUCUAUCCAUGGGCAGGUUGAAGGUUGGGUAACACUAACUGGAGGACCGAACCGACUACCGUUGAAAAGUUAGCGGAUGACCUGUGGAUCGGAGUGAAAGGCUAAUCAAGCUCGGAGAUAGCUGGUUCUCCUCGAAAGCUAUUUAGGUAGCGCCUCAUGUAUCACUGUAGGGGGUAGAGCACUGUUUCGGCUAGGGGGUCAUCCCGACUUACCAAACCGAUGCAAACUCCGAAUACCUACAAGUGCCGAGCAUGGGAGACACACGGCGGGUGCUAACGUCCGUCGUGAAAAGGGAAACAACCCAGACCGUCAGCUAAGGUCCCAAAGUUAUGGUUAAGUGGGAAACGAUGUGGGAAGGCUUAGACAGCUAGGAGGUUGGCUUAGAAGCAGCCACCCUUUAAAGAAAGCGUAAUAGCUCACUAGUCGAGUCGGCCUGCGCGGAAGAUGUAACGGGGCUCAAACCAUACACCGAAGCUACGGGUAUCACUUAGGUGAUGCGGUAGAGGAGCGUUCUGUAAGCCUGUGAAGGUGAGUUGAGAAGCUUGCUGGAGGUAUCAGAAGUGCGAAUGCUGACAUGAGUAACGACAAUGGGUGUGAAAAACACCCACGCCGAAAGACCAAGGUUUCCUGCGCAACGUUAAUCGACGCAGGGUUAGUCGGUCCCUAAGGCGAGGCUGAAAAGCGUAGUCGAUGGAAAACAGGUUAAUAUUCCUGUACUUCUGGUUAUUGCGAUGGAGGGACGGAGAAGGCUAGGCCAGCUUGGCGUUGGUUGUCCAAGUUUAAGGUGGUAGGCUGAGAUCUUAGGUAAAUCCGGGAUCUUAAGGCCGAGAGCUGAUGACGAGUUGUCUUUUAGACGACGAAGUGGUUGAUGCCAUGCUUCCAAGAAAAGCUUCUAAGCUUCAGGUAACCAGGAACCGUACCCCAAACCGACACAGGUGGUUGGGUAGAGAAUACCAAGGCGCUUGAGAGAACUCGGGUGAAGGAACUAGGCAAAAUGGCACCGUAACUUCGGGAGAAGGUGCGCCGGUGAGGGUGAAGGACUUGCUCCGUAAGCUCAUGCCGGUCGAAGAUACCAGGCCGCUGCGACUGUUUAUUAAAAACACAGCACUCUGCAAACACGAAAGUGGACGUAUAGGGUGUGACGCCUGCCCGGUGCCGGAAGGUUAAUUGAUGGGGUUAGCUAACGCGAAGCUCUUGAUCGAAGCCCCGGUAAACGGCGGCCGUAACUAUAACGGUCCUAAGGUAGCGAAAUUCCUUGUCGGGUAAGUUCCGACCUGCACGAAUGGCGUAACGAUGGCGGCGCUGUCUCCACCCGAGACUCAGUGAAAUUGAAAUCGCUGUGAAGAUGCAGUGUAUCCGCGGCUAGACGGAAAGACCCCGUGAACCUUUACUAUAGCUUUGCACUGGACUUUGAAUUUGCUUGUGUAGGAUAGGUGGGAGGCUUUGAAGCGUGGACGCCAGUUCGCGUGGAGCCAACCUUGAAAUACCACCCUGGCAACUUUGAGGUUCUAACUCAGGUCCGUUAUCCGGAUCGAGGACAGUGUAUGGUGGGUAGUUUGACUGGGGCGGUCUCCUCCUAAAGAGUAACGGAGGAGUACGAAGGUGCGCUCAGACCGGUCGGAAAUCGGUCGUAGAGUAUAAAGGCAAAAGCGCGCUUGACUGCGAGACAGACACGUCGAGCAGGUACGAAAGUAGGUCUUAGUGAUCCGGUGGUUCUGUAUGGAAGGGCCAUCGCUCAACGGAUAAAAGGUACUCCGGGGAUAACAGGCUGAUACCGCCCAAGAGUUCAUAUCGACGGCGGUGUUUGGCACCUCGAUGUCGGCUCAUCACAUCCUGGGGCUGAAGCCGGUCCCAAGGGUAUGGCUGUUCGCCAUUUAAAGUGGUACGCGAGCUGGGUUUAGAACGUCGUGAGACAGUUCGGUCCCUAUCUGCCGUGGACGUUUGAGAUUUGAGAGGGGCUGCUCCUAGUACGAGAGGACCGGAGUGGACGAACCUCUGGUGUUCCGGUUGUCACGCCAGUGGCAUUGCCGGGUAGCUAUGUUCGGAAUAGAUAACCGCUGAAAGCAUCUAAGCGGGAAACUAGCCUCAAGAUGAGAUCUCACUGGAACCUUGAGUUCCCUAAAGGGCCGUCGAAGACUACGACGUUGAUAGGUUGGGUGUGUAAGCGCUGUGAGGCGUUGAGCUAACCAAUACUAAUUGCCCGUGAGGCUUGACC
rnacentral:rRNA from 1 species